AUUUCCCUCUUUCUUUAGGCCUAACACAUGCAAGUCGAACGGCAGCACAGUAAGAGCUUGCUCUUACGGGUGGCGAGUGGCGGACGGGUGAGGAAUACAUCGGAAUUUACUUUUUCGUGGGGGAUAACGUAGGGAAACUUACGCUAAUACCGCAUACGACCUACGGGUGAAAGCAGGGGAUCUUCGGACCUUGCGCGAUUGAAUGAGCCGAUGUCGGAUUAGCUAGUUGGCGGGGUAAAGGCCCACCAAGGCGACGAUCCGUAGCUGGUCUGAGAGGAUGAUCAGCCACACUGGAACUGAGACACGGUCCAGACUCCUACGGGAGGCAGCAGUGGGGAAUAUUGGACAAUGGGCGCAAGCCUGAUCCAGCCAUACCGCGUGGGUGAAGAAGGCCUUCGGGUUGUAAAGCCCUUUUGUUGGGAAAGAAAAGCAGCAGGUUAAUACCCCGCUGUUCUGACGGUACCCAAAGAAUAAGCACCGGCUAACUUCGUG
rnacentral:rRNA from 1 species